rnacentral:lncRNA from 1 species
CCUGAACUUAAGAUGGAAAACUCUUCUUGUGCUGUGACCAGUCAAGAUGAGGAUUAGCUAAUCCACAAGGCAAGACAACUCCUUAUUCCUAGCAAGAAACACCAUCAGGCUGUAUCCAACUCCAAUCAACUGCCUCCAGUGCCUGCAUUGUAAAGGUAUGCCUUUGCCAUAGCCCAUAUCCAUGAGGCUAUAUACCAAGAGAGGACUGCUCACCUUAGAGGGAAAAGUAAUAAAAAAACACGCAGGAAAUCUUGGAUCUCUUGGAUGACUGGAUGAAGC